CACGUUAUAGGUGGGCACUCUAAGGAGACUGCCGGUGACAAACCGGAGGAAGGUGGGGAUGACGUCAAGUCAUCAUGGCCCUUACGGCCUGGGCUACACACGUGCUACAAUGGUCGGUACAAAGGGUUGCCAAGCCGCGAGGUGGAGCUAAUCCCAUAAAACCGAUCGUAGUCCGGAUCGCAGUCUGCAACUCGACUGCGUGAAGUCGGAAUCGCUAGUAAUCGUGAAUCAGAAUGUCACGGUGAAUACGUUCCCGGGCCUU
rnacentral:rRNA from 1 species